rnacentral:rRNA from 1 species
AUUGAACGCUGGCGGCAGGCCUAACACAUGCAAGUCGAACGAGUGGCGGACGGGUGAGCAAUGUCUGGGAAACUGGCUGAUGGAGGGGGAUAACGACUGGAAACGGUAGCUAAUACCGCAUACCAUCGGAUGUGCCCAGAUGGGAUUAGCUAGUUGGUGGGGUAAUGGCGUACCAAGGCGACGAUCCCUAGCUGGUCUGAGAGGAUGACCAGCCACACUGGGACUGAGACACGGUCCAGACUCCUACGGGAGGCAGCAGUGGGGAAUAUUGCACAAUGGGGGCAAGCCUGAUGCAGCCAUGCCGCGUGAAUGAAGAAGGCCUUCGGGUUGUAAAGUACUUUCGGUGAGGAGGCGUUACUCGCAGAAGAAGCACCGGCUAACUCCGUGCCAGCAGCCGCGGUAAUUC